AUUGAACGCUGGCGGCAGGCUUAACACAUGCAAGUCGAGCGGAGAGAGGUAGCUUGCUACCGAUCUUAGCGGCGGACGGGUGAGUAAUGCUUAGGAAUCUGCCUAUUAGUGGGGGACAACAUUUCGAAAGGAAUGCUAAUACCGCAUACGUCCUACGGGAGAAAGCAGGGGAUCUUCGGACCUUGCGCUAAUAGAUGAGCCUAAGUCGGAUUAGCUAGUUGGUGGGGUAAAGGCCUACCAAGGCGACGAUCUGUAGCGGGUCUGAGAGGAUGAUCCGCCACAAUGGGACUGAGACACGGCCCAGACUCCGACGGGAGGCAGCAGUGGGGAAUAUUGGACAAUGGGCGCAAGCCUGAUCCAGCCAUGCCGCGUGUGUGAAGAAGGCCUUAUGGUUGUAAAGCACUUUAAGCGAGGAGGAGGCUACUUUAGUUAAUACCUAGAGAUAGUGGACGUUACUCGCAGAAUAAGCACCGGCUAACUCUGUGCCAGCCGCCGCAGUAAUAC
rnacentral:rRNA from 1 species